UUCCAUUGUAAGGUGUAUCGUAAGCCUGUAUGUGUGUAGGACGUAUAAACAUGUUGUGUUGGUCUCACAUGGAGGAGUGUACCUGUGUUGUUUAACUGUCAGCAUGCUCUUAUUUAAAUACCUGCUGAAUGCAUGGAGGUAGAAGUUUAAUGUAUUUGUCUGCAUUGAUCAUACAAGUUAACUAUGGCGCACCGAAAAGUCCUGCUGAGGCAGAAGAGAACGAACAAGCGGGAUCGUUGUGUGUCUAUGGGAGGUCGGAUAGAGCUAUAUGAAUCAGAAGACUUUCAAGGCAAGAAACUAGCACUCGGGGACGAUUGUACGUGCAUCCAGCUGAGAGGUUUAGAAGACGUUCGCUCAGUCAAGGUCAUCGGUAAGGACGUAUGGGGAUUCUACAAACAUAAGGGUUUCCGUGAACGCAGUUUUGAAUUGGAAGAAGGAGAUUAUUCAAAUCUAAGACCAAUUAAGGACGAAGAUGAUGACGUCAUAUCCUCCGUUAGACCGCUGUGGAUGGAGAUUUCGGAGAGGAACUUCUUACCUCACGGAGACAUGUAUAACCAACAGUACGCCGCCCUGGCGGCUUGGUUUCUGGGACCAAAGGGAGAGAACAAAGAUGUAUUUACAGACCUAGCCAAAGCCGCUGUUGAUGCUCAUAUAGACUUCCGGACGAACUACUACCCCACGGAUAAACCCUAUAUCACAGAUGAUAUAAAGACAGCUCGGGCGUACAGGGACGAGGUCAAGGAACUCCGGAACGAGUUAACUAAGAUGACGGAAGAACUGAAGGAGAGUACUCCUAACCAUAGUCUCCGGUAUGAGGGUCACAUGCUGUGGGACACCGCCAUGCCUGCUAAUCUGGGGUACAUAGCAGCCAUGUUGUACAAUUCCAACAAUGUCACGAGGGAGGCCAGCCCUGUGACUACUGGCAUGGAGGUGCAGGUCGGAAAACAGAUCUGUGAAAUGCUCGGCUACAGUUUUGGACAGAAACCAGAACCUUGGGGUCACCUCACGUGCGGCGGUAGUGUAGCCAAUAUUGAAGCCACGUGGUCAGCACGAAACGUCAAAUAUUAUCCAAUCGCAAUUAAGAAAGCCGUGAUGACUGAGCCAGCAUUACAAGACGCGCUGGAGUAUGAAGUGUUUGUACCUAGACUCGAUAAGAAACAAAAGCUGACCGAGGUGUCGACAUGGGAUUUACUUAACCUUGACAUUGAUGAAAUUGUUGCCAUACCAGAAAACAUGGCCAAGCUAGGAAUCUCGAGCGAUGUACUUACGGAAAGCCUUUCACGGUAUAGCUUACAGAGUUUAGGAUUUUUGAAAUUUGCACUUCUGCACGGACUAACGGAAGCUCCCGUGGUGGUUUCUCCAGCCUCUAACCAUUAUUCUUGGACUAAAGCAGCAACAUUACUGGGAAUCGGUUCAGAAAACCUGAUCUCCGUGAUGUUUGAUAGGAAUGCCCGGAUGAGUAUAGAUGAUUUAAAACGGAUCCUGAAUGGAUUAUUGGUGAGAGAAAUCCCCGUCAUAGCUGUUGUAGUCGUCAUAGGAACGACAGAGCACGGAGCGGUCGACCCUCUGUCUAAGGUCAUCAAUCUCCGCAAGGAGUUCCGGGAAAAGGGUUUGAAUUUCUGUGUGUGUGCGGACGCAGCUUGGGGAGGGUAUUUCACGUCCAUGCUCCAUUCUAAGAGUACGUCCCGGGCUACAGUGAUAAAGGACCACGGCGGAUACAUCCCAAUGUUCCCCCUCAGUCCGUACACACGGAAGCAACUCCUCCAUCUGAAAUACGCCGAUACCAUCACCCUGGACCCCCAUAAAUCUGGGUACUGUCCGUAUCCGGCCGGCGGACUCUGUUACAGAAAUGGCGCUAUGAGAGGAUUCGUCCAGAUCUCAGCUUCCGUUAUAUACCAGAAUGAAGAGGAACCGGAUGUGGGCAUGUACGGGGUGGAAGGUUCUAAGCCUGGAGCGGCAGCAGCCGGAGUUUUAUUGGCACACAGGGUAAUCGGACUUGACAUGUAUGGUUAUGGUCGGAUACUGGGACAAUGUAUGAUGGGAGCUAAACUAUUCUACUGCGCAUGGCUGACGGUAGCCUAUGACGACGAUAACUUUGUAUGCAUUCCUAUGAAGCCUCUACCAAAGGAGGAGGAUUCUGGGAUACCGAUGUUUUCCUUCAAAAAGGACCGAGCAUUACAGGAGGCUCGAAGAUUUAUCAACGACAAAAUAAAGGGCAGAAGUAACGAACAUCUGAAAAAGGACCCUGAGGUGAUGGGUUUCCUGAGUGAGAUCGGACCUGAUGCCCUAAUCAACGCCUUCGCCGUCAACAUCCGCGGUAAUACCGAUAUCAACGUCACUAAUCGUCUCAAUUCGACCCUGUUCGACAAGCUCUCGCAUACAAGUGUAAACAAAAAAGCCGUCAAACGGAUACCCCUUAUAUUAACCAAGUCCGAAAUGCAGCAUUCUGGGAAGGACAAGGCAGCGUCACAGUUCAAACGGAGACUAGGGCUCCCGCCGGUCUGUGAUGGCGGUCUAGUAUACCUCAUCAACACUGUCAUGAAUCCUUGGGUCGCUAAUCAAGAUAGCGUCCAAUCCCUGGUCGACUGUUUCCGCCAGGUGGUCAAGACAACAGUGGAAGAGAUGACCGAUUCCCCAGAAAGACAUAUAUUUAUUGUGGCCGGUCCCCUGAGUAAAAUCAGUGGAGAAAUUUUCUGUGAUUUCUACCCGAACGAGUACAACGAGAAAGAGAGUAAUUACCAAGCUGUUGUGAAAUUCAAAGUGGACAGUCGAUUUAAGAUCGAGCUUCUAGAACUGAUCGAACAACAGAUCGAGUUAUCAUUAAACGGAAGUGCUACUAAAGAAAUCAUAUUCCGGAACAAAGCAAAGACAACUCUAAGGGACAUGUUGUGCAAUGGCCGCCAGACGGCGGUCAGAAUGAACGUUUUUGUUGGCAUGGAAUCUGAUACACCGAUCAUAACCAACCUACCCGUGACAAUAUCUGAUGUUCCCCUCUACAGGUAUUUCGAGAAAGUUACUCCUGACCAUCCAACCUACAUGACGUACUUCCUGUUUGGUGACGAAAAUGGCGCGUAUAUGACACAUCACAUCUCCGUCCGGCCAGAUUUCUACCAGCUGGUCCGACUAGACCAGAUACCACACAGUAUAUCACCGUCACUACUACAACAUGGUGUCCAGAUCCACAUCUCCACCAUGACUGGGGACCCUCUGGUCAUUGACGGUGAGAUCGUCGACCCUCUCCAAAUGUCUGAGUACACUGUGCAUCUGAUAGCGGAAGGAGGCAAUCAGAUAAGAUCUUCCAUAAAGUUCAACAACCCGAGCGCCAAAAUAUUCUUCCUACCGCUUCGACCGGAAACACUAACGGAAUCUCAGUGUCUGCAGUUCCGAUCCUCUGUUAAUUUGAACGGUAGUAUAAAUCUUGAGGUUCACGAAUCUCCCAGUCAGGAACUAUUAACACAGGAUUUACUAGAAACUUCAGUGUAGUUGAUGUGUGCAUGAACCUUCCAGUCCGGGACCCGUUACACUGUGUUACGAUAUUGUAGUUGAUGUGUGCAUGAACCUCCAAACCCACAGCGUAGCUAUGUGUGCAUGAACCUUCAAGACCGGUACCCGUUACACUGUUACGUUAAUGUAGAUAUGUGCUUAUGAACCUCUAAGUCCGGGACCCAUUACCCUGUUACGUUAGUGAAGAUAUGUGAGCAUGAACCUCUCCGUCCGUGACUUGAUUACCCGAUUUACUCGAAGCCUCUGUGUAGUGUAUUAUUUAUAUGCGCAUGAACCUCCUGGACAACUCACUGACGACUAACGCCAUAGGCUGGUACCAAACCAUUAACAAGCAGUUGUGUCAAUUUUACUAACACGUCAAGAGUUAACGAUUUACCAUGUGCUUCAUGACUUUUGUAACGCAAUUGUUUCAUUAUCUAUGUUUCUGAUUUGCUCAUACAAACUAAUGUUGUGAAAGGGAGAUUCUACAGUAGGAUAGUGGUUCUAUAGCCGGCUUUACUUUAUUAUGCAUACUAUUGAAGAAUCGACUUACCGGUGCUUAAGAGAUGAUGCGGUCAAACUGGACAGUUGGAUUAAUUUAUCAACCUCUGACAUUUACAAAUACAAGCUUGUGUCCGUCAAGUUUCUCUAGUCACUGCUAUUGCAGUAUUUAAUAUCAAAACGAUAACCUUGUCGAUGUUUUGAAGAACAUUUGUCGAUAAUAUAUAUAAUUCUUACUGACUUCAUUUCUAAAAAAAAAAUAUGAAGGCGUUGGAGAACGGAUUUCACGCCAAAUUUAUUUUAACUUUGAGCUCCUGUCUAAGUGGUGUUUUCUUAAUCAGGUGGCCGAUAAGACGAUGUUACUAAACACUGAGUGUCAUUCUAGUUGCAACAUUCUUUCAAGAAUCCUUCGCAGUAACAAAUACUCGCACAAACUAUAAGGGGAAGAAAAUAUUAAAUUAUUUUUGUGAUUUGUGUUCAUAAAGCAUUGAUUAAGCAUGCGGAGCUCGGAAGAAUAAUGUAAAUGGUAAAAUUAACCCCGAAUGUCAUAAAGGAAUAUAAAUAAACGUUUUAAUGACAAACAGUAACGUUGCGGUUACUAUUGAUUAUUAGAUAUUACUCUCAACUCUUAACAAUUCCACAAAAACUGCCACGUUAAGUAACGUGUACGAUCAGAACUUGUUAUUAUCCUUUCCUGAGAACUUUGAGUGUUUGUGUUAUUUAAGUGUCAGGGACGUCGUAAUUAUUGCAGGAUGACCCAGUGGUAAGCUGUCAACUGAAUGUAUGUUGGUACUACAAAUAUAGCGUACAUAAUAUUGGUUAUCGGACGAUGACGUUUUGACACACUUAUUUAUAUGUUAAAUUCCUGUACCAUUUGUAUAGUUCUAAGUUGAUUGAUAUUAUACUUAAUUUACAUCCCGGGAAAAUUAUAUCGUGCUCCACCUCGAUAUUUUGUAUGUUAAAUUUGGUUUCAUUAGCAAUCAUUUUAUACAUAUAUUAAGACGUUGUUAUUGUUUUUGUUAAUGUGUUGAUCUUAAUUAGACAUAUACAAUGUAGCUAUAGAUGGGUGUCAUAUUAUGCAUUUUAUGACAUGUAGUUAGUGUUUACGCUGUUUGUGCUAUAGCAUCUUUGAAAUACACAAUAAAAUAAUCUGAAUAAUU